CCAGCACCUGCGGUAAUUCCAGCUCUAAUAGCGUAUAUUAAAGUUGUUGCAGUUAAAAAGCUCGUAGUCGGAUGUCGGGGACGAGACAUUGUGAACCUUUUGGUGAUCGAUGGCUCGUCUCUUUUUGCCUGCGGACUACACCUCCUUAACCGGUGGUGCUAGGACACAGGCCGUUUACUUUGAAAAAAUCAGAUCGUUCAAAGAAGGCUAAGCUCGAAUAUGUUAGCAUGGAAUAAUGGAAUAGGACUUGGGUUCUAUUUUGUUGGUCAAUGGAUCCUAAGUAAUGAUUAAUAGGGACAGUUGGGGCCGUUUAUCUACGCACGCUUUACGCCCAGUAAUUCCGAACAACGCUAGCUCCCUCCGUAUUACCGCGGCUGCUG
rnacentral:rRNA from 1 species